GAUUUACUUCGGUAAUGACGUUGGGAAAGCGAGCGGCGGAUGGGUGAGUAACACGUGGGGAACCUGCCCCUAAGUCUGGGAUACCAUUUGGAAACAGGUGCUAAUACCGGAUAAUAAAGCAGAUCGCAUGAUCAGCUUUUGAAAGGCGGCGUAAGCUGUCGCUAAGGGAUGGCCCCGCGGUGCAUUAGCUAGUUGGUAAGGUAACGGCUUACCAAGGCGACGAUGCAUAGCCGAGUUGAGAGACUGAUCGGCCACAUUGGGACUGAGACACGGCCCAAACUCCUACGGGAGGCAGCAGUAGGGAAUCUUCCACAAUGGACGCAAGUCUGAUGGAGCAACGCCGCGUGAGUGAAGAAGGUUUUCGGAUCGUAAAGCUCUGUUGUUGGUGAAGAAGGAUAGAGGUAGUAACUGGCCUUUAUUUGACGGUAAUCAACCAGAAAGUCACGGCUAACUACGUGCCAGCAGCCGCGGUAAUACGUAGGUGGCAAGCGUUGUUCGGAUUUAUUGGGCGUAAAGCGAGCGCAGGCGGAAAAAUAAGUCUAAUGUGAAAGCCCUCGGCUUAACCGAGGAACUG
rnacentral:rRNA from 1 species